rnacentral:rRNA from 1 species
UGAGGAAUAUUGGGCAAUGCCCGCAAGGGUGACCCAGCAACGCCGCGUGGAGGAUGAAUGUCGUAAGAUUGUAAACUCCUGUUAGAGGGGAAGAAUAGUACCGGUUGGACCGGUAUAUGACUGUACCCUCAGAGAAAGCCCCGGCUAACUACGUGCCAGCAGCCGCGGUAAUACGUAGGGGGCAAGCGUUGUCCGGAUUUACUGGGUGUAAAGGGCGCGCAGGCGGGAUAAAAAGUCAGUGGUGAAAUCCUACAGCUUAACUGUAGAACUGCCUUUGAUACUUUUAUUCAUAAGUUCGGGAGAGAGAGACGGAAUUCCAGGUGUAGUGGUGAAAUACGUAGAUAUCUGGAAGAACACCAGUUGCGAAGGCGGUCUCUUGAUCCGACACUGACGCUGAGGCGCGAAAGCGUGGGGAGCAAACA